rnacentral:lncRNA from 1 species
AAUUUCUUCUCAAUCUACAAGACCUAGCAUACCAUUCUCCUACAUCUCUUCCAAAUUGAAGAGUACUACGCCAGGCAUAUUAUCCUUCUAUAUCCCAACCGAGUUCUCCUUCUCUUCUUUGCAAGUUCGACUAAGGUAUAUGUCUCAUCCUUUUUUUUCUCACUCAUACAAAAUUGUGAGUAAAUAAACACUUUUUGAAUUCUCAUUUCUAAGAGUGUAAUGAAUUCAAAACUUUAAUUCCCAUACACUAUGUUUUGAAUUGUGCUUGGAAGGUUGGGCCUAGAAGCUUAAUUUUUUACAUUCAUGGCUGACUCUGUGUGCUUUCAUAUUCAUUUUCUGCAUUACACUUGAGAAAAACAUGUGCACAGUUACAGAAGUGUAACUUUAUAACAUGCUGAUUAAUCUAAUUCAAAAUUAUGUUUGGUGAGUGUGCUUUUACGUAUGUGGUUGUAUGCUAGUGUCAAACAGGGCACAUGGUGCUUCCAUGGAGAUUUGUGUGUGUAUAUUGUUAUUACUUUAUGAGUAUUUGUGUGUUGUAUUGCUUGUGCACACAAGGAAAUCAUGGUAUUCAUGUAAUGAUCUUUGAGAUGUGUUAACUUCAGAAGUAUAUUCUAUUAAUUAUGGUGGCAUGGGUGAUUGGAUAAGAAAAGAAAUCUUGUUAAGUAUAGCACUAAAGGAAAGUGAUGGUCCGGUAUGAUGUAAUAUUGUGAACACUUUGUUGUGAAAAGUAUGGUACAUGCUUGGAGUCUAAGUAAAACGGUGUGACCUCAAGUUGUGAUCUUGGGGCCAGUAACUAGAUUUUCAAACUGGUUGACUGUUUGAAUAAGUGUCGUGACUAUAUGGUUAAUGGGGGAAAGUAUGAGUACCCUAGUUCUAAAUUUCUACACCUACACUAGCAACUAAGUAUGGGGUGACCCCUAAAACCACCUACACUUGGUGUUAGCUAGCUACAUAAGACUCACUUUGACUUGGAUUUAUUUGUGUGGGGUUUAGCAGGCACCAUAACAAGAAUAUCAUAAAAAGAUAAGGAUGUUGUUGUGCCUUUGGAGGCACCAAAAAAGAGAGUGUGGGCUAUUGCUUAUGUGACUAGAGCCUCGGGUGUCUCACUAGGUCAUUCUCGGUGGGUUUAAUAAGCAGAAAAUAAUGGUACAACAAACGCACUGAGUCCAAAUAUACCCCAGACAAGUUAAUUGACCGGGAGAGUUUGAGAAGAGAGUUCCCAGGCAUGGUUCAGAGAAUCGAGGAGAUAUGGAUAAACUUUAUUUUUUAGCAGCCCACAGAGUGCAACCUGUAGUUAAUCAGGGAAGUCUACGCAAAUUGGAAGCCUAGGCAGUCGGAUGAAGAGGUAAAUAUUCAACGACAUGUGGUUUACUUUGAUGCCCAUCACUUGAAUGUUCUACAAGGUACAUCUGAGUCAGAUUCUCUUCAUCUCAGAUAGCUGGAUAUCACUCCUCCCUAUGCCGACAUCAGAUAUUUAUUAUGUGGAAAUAGAUCAACGACUACAUGGAUUUACCACUGAGAAGGAGGUUAUCACAUGACAUUUCCCUAUGUAUAGAUAAACAGUGAAUCAUGAGUGCGGUUGAAAAUCAUUUGUCAUUGCCUCACUCCAGGGAAGCACAUGAUAGAGGUUACUCAGGAUUAGGUUUGCCUUUUGUUUAUGCCAUUAUGCAAGAGGGCUUUAAGUUAAUCUUUCCGCAGUGAUUAUAUCAAUAAUAAAGAAGACUCGAUAUCAUCAAGGACAUAGGUAUGGCUUCAGUGGGUUGCUAAAAUGGUUUUUGAAAGGCUAUGUUGUUGAGGAGAAAGCCUUGGACUACAUACCAUUGUUAGACACACGCAUAGUGGAUGUGACCCAAACACAGGAUCUUGACAUUGCUCAUAGGAUAAUGCUGACACUACCCAAGCGUCAUGCUCAGGAUGAUGAGAUCAUAGCCCACAUAUACGGACUACAGAUACUAUAGGUGAGAGUGGGAGCCCAGGUAGCCACUAGAGAGGAGAUACAUAGGGUGGAGCUUGACUACCCUCUUGGUCACCAUGCUAGGACUUUAUUGCAAAUUGGACCAGACUUCUUUGAGCUGAGAAUGGUGACAUUACGAUGGAUAAGGAUAGGUAGUUAUUGUAGGAUUCAAACAUUAUGUUUGAGGAUGACGAUGAUAUGGACCCAGAUUUAGGUAAUGAAUCCUUACACCCGGAUGUCGAUAAUGGCAUGGAUAAGGAGUGACCAGGGAGUUUUUACAUCACCUCAUAUUUUUGUUUUGUUUUGUAUUUGAAAGCGCUGGGGACAAUGCUACAUUUUAAGUAUGGGGUGGUGGAGAUUCUUAAUCUAUUAUCUAUUCUGGAUGGAUUGUUAUUAUUGAUGUUAUUCUGUUGGAUAUUAUCAUUAUUUUUAUUUGAUUCUUAUAAAGAAAUUCUAGUACAUUUGGUCUGUAAUAGUUAGUAAUUAUUAUUCUGAAUUCGAUUGUGUAGUAGUUAGUAAUAGUUUAAUCAUUUUAUUAUUCCUAGUUUCGUCAUUUUAGUUGCUUAAUUAUUUUCAUGUCGGGCUUAGGAGUAAUUUUUUUUAUUUUUUAGGAUGCAUUCCAAUAACUAGUCAUAGUUUAGGUGCCUUUCUCGAUGAUGGAUGGAUGACGACCGUCCUAAGAAAAAGUAAUUGUAGGGAGUAAAUAGGUAGGAGAACCCGAUCACUAAUCUAAUACUGGGUACUUUUUAUUGGGCCAUAUAACUACAUGACAAGAAAAAUAUUUUUCUAUGAAGAAGAAUGUCAAACUAAGGUGGGUUACUAUUUUUAAGAUGCCUAGGCUCAGUUAUGUGAUUCUUUGUUAAUGUUGGCUUAAUUUGAAUUUUUACAAUUUAUGGGUCAAGAGUCCAUAGGGAUCUUGAUUGAUUUUAGCAUGUGCCAUGCGUAAGUGAGGUUUUCUAUAUAUUCCAUAUGCAAAGUAAUGUCUAGAACUUAUCCGAUGUGUUUACAAAGUGAAAUAAAGUGUAUUGAGCUUAGGAGAUGAUAUAGGCAUUUCUUUGGUAGCUGUAUUCUGUACCUUCUUUGUCUAGCCUUAUUUCAUAACCCUAGUUAACCUCGCUGAUCCUUAAACUCAUUCAUUGGCAGCCUUAUAAGUAGCUUAAUCCUUUUCUUUUAAUUGGCCCCAAAUUUGAUCCCAAAACUCCUAAGUGCUUUGAUUGAAAAAUUGAGUUGUUUAUGAGUGCAAAAGUGAAGAGGAAAAGAUUGAAAUUAAUUCCCUGAAAAAUUAGUUUUGGUGUUGUAUAGUUUAUAUGUUGAUGGGAAGGAGUAGUGAAAUUAACAUAACAACGAUCCCAAAUGCGUUAUGAGAAGUUAAUACUCCCUACUUAAAAGUUGUGAGCUAGAUUAAAGAGAUGGGGCGGGAAAAACAUAAAAGAGCAGAGGGUGACAAAUAUUGGUGGAAAAUAGGGUGAUUGGAGAAUAGUUUGGUAAAAAGUGUGAUGUAUUAAAGAGCUUAGGGAAGAUAGUUACUAUACUACCCAAAAUAGUACCUACCUGUCUCGCAUCCUACAUUACAACCUGAAAGGUCCUAUUUGAUCCUAAUCAUUAAUAUUCUGACAUUAGUAGAGAAGUACACUAAGGGAAAGCUUAUGGUUUAUCCUAUUCCAUGUGUGAAAACUUUGGGAGAGUGAGCAAAAUUUAUUUGGUGUACCCAGUCUUAUGAUAUAUUACACAAUGAUGAACGAAUAUGGGUAAUUCUCUUAUUGUGAGGGUGCUUGUGGAUGUUAGGUGACCAGUAUGAUUCCUGGCUGAAUAAUGUCCAUGAGUUUUCCAAUAUUAUAGAGUCCGCUCUUGAGAUUAGAAAGUCUAAAAUAAGCGUUCUGGUGUUUACUCUGUGAUAAGACAUGUGUGGGAUGAAAAUUGAUAAGUCAUGUGUAGUCACUAUGUCCCCAGUAGAAGUAUCUUGUUAAGAUAGUGAAGUGAAGCUUUUGUAUGUUGAGAAUAAUUAUGUAUAUUUGUUCAAAGGCGAACAAGACUCUAAGUAGGGGUGGUGAUCUUGGAUUUAUUUACACAUCCAAGUACCAAUUAUGACUAAUAUGUUUACUUAUUCUAUGAGCUAAAUCUUGUAAAAGGUCUUAUGUUAAGCUAAAAUUGUACUCUUAAGCUAAUGGAUAUGAUUAGUGUUAUAGGUUUUGAAUUUGGUGAAAAUAAACGUGAUUAGGCAUGAAUGUCAAGCUAUGGAUCAUGGGAAACAUUGGAGAAACAGGGAGAGCAUAGAGAGAGUGGAACAAGGCAUACAAAGUAUAAGAUAAGCAGCCAACGGAAGAAGAAUACACAUGGAACUGGAAAGGCAGUUUUAACAUAGCAGCGUGCCAUGCCAUGUAGUCUCUGUGAUAAGGACAUAGCACAUUGGUGGUUUAUUAGUGAAUGGCAAAUUCCAAUGAGCAUGCGGGGUAGUGGCGUGCCAUGCCAUUUAGUCUCCAUGAUAAGGGCAUAGCACAAAGGCUGCAUCAAAAUCGUAUGGCACAUUCCAGUAAGCUUCCGCGAUAUUAGUGUUCUAUGCUACUUAGCCUCCACGAUAAGGGGGUGUCACGCUGAUGUAUUUAAACCAUGAAAAGCAUGCAAGUAUAAAAGGAACACUUGUAAUAUUUUAGCUUAUGUUUUGCAUAUGUCUAGGCAAGGAAAAAAAUUAUGAGGGCUUUGUUUUAGGGUUAUUUCACCAUUCAACUCUCUUACUUUUAAUUUUGUAUGAUAUUUCUAUUUCAUGGAUGUUGAUUAUGAACAUGAGUGGCUAAUUUUCCUUGUUUUG